rnacentral:rRNA from 1 species
AUUGAACGCUGGCGGCAGGCCUAACACAUGCAAGUCGGACGAGCGGCGGACGGGUGAGUAAUGUAUGGGAAUCUGCCUGAUGGAGGGGGAUAACUACUGGAAACGGUAGCUAAUACCGCAUACCAUCAGAUGGACCCAUAUGGGAGUAGCUAGUAGGUGGGGUAACGGCUCACCUAGGCGACGAUCCCUAGCUGGUCUGAGAGGAUGACCAGCCACACUGGGACUGAGACACGGCCCAGACUCCUACGGGAGUCAGCAGGGGGGAAUAUUGCACAAGGGGCGCAAGCCUGAUGCAGCCAUGCCGCGUGUAUGAAGAAGGCCUUCGGGUUGUAAAGUACUUUCAGUGGGGAGGCGUUACCGACAGAAGAAGCACCGGCUAACUCCGUGCCAGCCGCCGCGGUAAUUC